AUCCACAGACAAUUGUUGUCUUGUUUUGCUCCUCUUUAGAAGGUGGUUUAUAGAACUAUAAUACUCUAACAGGUGCUCUUGAAUGCAGGUUUCUGAUAACUUUGAAGAUUGUGACAUCAGAAUAGAGGAAAAACUUUGAAAACUCAUGGAGAGCUGAAAUGUUCAUGAAUAUCAAGCAGAGCAGGAAUUAGCUGCAUGAACUGAACUAAUAGAAGACUGAAGAAUCAAACUUGACUUAUGGAGACAAUAAAAGCCCCUUGGGAAAACUGGCCUCAUACUUUGUCUCCGCAGUGCCUGUACAGGGUUCCUGAUCUGUGUAAAUGCUUCCUGAGCCCUCACCAAAACUAAAGGCUGGUGCCAUGAUUUUCGUACAGUCUGCAAAAUGGUAAGUCAAAACAACUUUCGGCAUAUUUUAUCUGGCCUCGGGUACUUUAUAGCAGCGCACAAUGGACUAAUAUGGAAAAUUGUUACCGGGAGUGGGACAUUGCUAAAAAUGUCUGAAAAUGUGGUAGUGGCUUUAGAACUGGAUAAUUAGCACAGUUUGGAAGUGUCGGGAGGGUUCAGAAGAAAAUGGGAAGAUAAGGGAUAGUCUGGAACUUGUUAGGCAUUGGUUAAGUGAUUCUGACCAAAAUGCUGAUUAAAAAUAUGGCCAACUAAGUUUAGGCUAAUGAGGUCUAAGAUCAAAAUGAGAAACUUAUUAAAAACUGGAACAAAGAUCACCCUUGUUAUACCUUACGAAAGAACUUGACUGCAUCGUGUCCAUUCCAGGACUUUGUGGAAGUCUGAACUUAGUGAUGACUAAGGGUAUCUGGUGGAAGAAAUUUCUAAGCAGGAAAACAUUCAAGAGAUAGUGUGACUGCUUCUAACAGCCUAUGAUCAGGUAUGGGUGCAAAGGAAUGACCUAACGUUGGAACUUAAAGCUUCCUGAAGCCUCUCCAGAAUGAGAUGCUGGUGCUACGCUUUUUGUACAGCCUGCAAAUUGUGAGCCAAAUAUAGUUCUUUUCUGUAUAAAUUGCCCAGCGUCAAGUAUUUUUUUUUUACAGCAGCACAAAACAGACUAAUACAGAUGGAUAUUGUUGGAUUUCUAUAUAUUUUCCCCCAUGACACAAACACCUCCCACCAGACCCCACUUCCAUCACUGGCGAUCACAUUUUAACAUGAGAUUAGAAGGAGACAAAUAUCCAAAUUGUAUCACCAUCAAACUGUCUAAAUUAUAAGUUUCAAAAUUUUUCUCCAGAUUCUUCUGAAUCUUAUAAGUACAUGAACCAGUCAUGUACACACAAGGUUAACUUUAUUUCAUCUCUAGUAUCUGUUGAGAUCCUCUUUGUCUGCAGCAUUAUACAGUUUCACAUCAGAUGUAGAAAUACUGAAAUCCAAAUUUAUUCAUCUGUAUUUCCAUCUUUGACAAACAGC